UCCGUAGGUGAACCUGCGGAGGGAUCAUUAUAAGUUCACCCAGGCUUGUACAGCUGGGGACUGACAACCCUUUGAUUUCCGACUCUGUUGCCUCCGGGGCGACCCUGCCUUCGGGCGGGGGCUCCGGGUGGACACUUCAAACUCUUGCGUAACUUUGCAGUCUGAGUAAACUUAAUUAAUAAAUUAAAACUUUUAACAACGGAUCUCUUGGUUCUGGCAUCGAUGAUGAACGCAGCGAAAUGCGAUAAGUAAUGUGAAUUGCAGAAUUCAGUGAAUCAUCGAAUCUUUGAACGCACAUUGCGCCCCCUGGUAUUCCGGGGGGCAUGCCUGUUCGAGCGUCAUUUCACCACUCAAGCCUCGCUUGGUAUUGGGCAACGCGGUCCGCCGCGUGCCUCAAAUCGUCCGGCUGGGUCUUCUGUCCCCUAGCGUUGUGGAAACUAUUCGCUAAAGGGUGUUCGGGAGUCUACGCCGUAAAACAACCCCAUUUCUAAGGUUGACCUCGGAUCAGGUAGGGAUACCCGCUGAACUUAAGCAUAUCAAUAAGCGGAGGA
rnacentral:sRNA from 1 species